AAAAAAAAAAUGAUUAUAAAAUUUCUUUUUUGAAGGUUUACUUCCAUUACACCAACGAUGUAUUUAUUUUUCAUAUUUGCUCUAAUUCUGUCACCGUGAGUCCCUAAGCCGUCUUAACAAUAAGUAAUAACCAUGACAGAAAAACUUCCAUCGGUUCUAAUUUUUUGCCCUUUUCCUAAUUCACUUAGAUGGAGCCCAUAACCCUCUGUUUUUGAGUCUCGACGCCACCAAUAGGUGCAGAUACACCCUGAGAACAACCCCUGACGAUGGUAGAGGACUCAACAGGAGGCGGCGGCGGCGGCGGCGGCGGCAGGAGAUCGAGAUUGGGUCCAGAGAGGUUUCGUUUGGAGUCGCUUAACUUGAACACCUCAAUUUCGUUUAAGAUGGCAGGGGAUGAAAUUGAAACCACACAUAGGUGUAGCAGAAAAGAAAAAGAUGGAGAAGAGAAGAGAUUAUCCAGAGACACGGAAGGCGAUGGCAUCGCUAUGUGUCCUUGUCGUCUUCAUCAUCAUUAGCCGCCCCAGCGACCUUGGUAGGGCUUCUGCCGCUGGUUCCAGUGGCGAUGGUGGAGCCACACUGGUAAAACUCUCCAGUUCGCUCCAUGUAUAAUUUCUGUGCUCGCUUUUCAUCAACCAUUACUGGUAAGGAGAAUUAAGCUAAGCAACCGAAGAUUGAUUAUAAUUGGGGAAUUAAUUCUGAUACUCCCGCAAAUAAUUUCAGUGAAGUUAAUCUUUCUCCUCUGCUUUCCCCUGCUUCUUCCUGUUAGAAGUCAUGUGGAUGAUGCAGCAAUUUGGAAUUUUUUGCUCCUUCAAUCACGGUAAUUACCCGAGAACUGAAAGUCCUCUAAGCGACUUAUAAGACAAAUGGUAUAGCAAGACAGCGUACGAGGGAGAGGAUCUGGACUCCAACAUCUCCGUCAUUUGCCAGGAAAUCCCAAGCUAAAGUCUUUUCCAAUCGAGAAAUUUCGUUUUGUGUUGUUGCAGUCUCUCCGUAUUCUUCAUGUCAACCGAACAGGGUGAUGGGUAUCAUCAGAGGAUUGGAGGGUUACCGUUGUAUUACUGGUAGCAAUCUAGCUAACGUGAAAAACGACGAGGCGCCUCUCCGUAUUCUUCGUGUCAACAUCUUGGAAGUUUCGUCGAAGCUGCUUAGGCAAGAGACUUUGACUAGGUUACCCAAAGGUCACGACAAUGGGAGGACUUUUACAUUGAGAAAUUGCGUGGUGGUUGUUCUAUCGUCGUUUCUAUUUUUUUAUUUUUUUUUAAUAUUCUAUCGUUUUGAACUUUCUGGUGGAAGUUUUCUUACCAGAGGAAAAAGAUGAACUUCCAGGAAGGCUGAGGGUUUGCUCUUGGGAAGACGAACUUAUGCAUAUAUUGCUUCCUAGCCCCAGAUUUUAUACUCUCCAUAUUAUCCAUAUAUUGCAGUGGAGAAAAGCCGCGCGAGAAGAAAAUUUUCAAAACGGGGACGGGAUAUCGUUCUUCCUGGAAAAAUAAAAAUCCUAUGGAUAUGAAGACUGGUGACACCCAACAACAGAAAAGGCCUUCCUGCAACAAUAGAAGUAGCCGUCAAGCUCAGACACAGGAGAGUAACUUCUUACCUAUGAUGUCCUUAUGUUUCCUGACUGUCAACGGCGUGGUCACAUUUGUCCGAGCCCAUGCUCAUGGCGACACCUCCACGAUGGCCUUCGUUCUCUUCCUUUACUUUGGAUUCUUAUCUUUGUUCUGUUGUUUGAAAGCCUUUGAUCACUUCCCACCCCAUGAGGAGUCUCCCAAGAAAGAGCUGUUGAAGGUUGCAAUAUGGGUGAUUUCCACAUCUCUGAAUGUUGGCCUUGCCGUUAGGUUUGCCCCUUUGAUCCACCCCAUUGGUGCUAUCUUUAUCUGUGCCUUGGCAUCGGUAAGUAGUGGUUUUGGCUUUUACUUCUUCUUCAUCCACCGUGUAGACCCUAGUGAUGUCCAUAAUGGCAGCUGCAAAAGCUAUGCUGACAACAAGAAGAAGAAGUUCUUUGUGGUAUCUUCUCUACCUCUGAAAGUGGCUCAGAAGGACACCAAGCCCUCUGAGUCCACUUCGCCUUUAGAAAAUGUCUAGUUACGAAGUGAUUUAAGACAAUACUCCCACCACCACCACCAGCGUCUCUUUCUUUCUUCUUCUUUUUUUUUUUUUUGGGUGUUGGUGAGGGGGUGGGGUGUUGAACCAGACUCUCUUCAUUUCCUGUUGUUUUGUGGUUGUGGGUUCUACUAUUGUGGAGUGUACUGUGGACAUACUCUCUGGUGUCAAAAGUCUACACCCAAGUUGUAUGGCUGUGUCCAGUAAGAAGGAUAUCUGGAGUUCCUGAUGACCAACAAUUCUGGCUUUCUUUGGUAUCCUUUCUAUUUCUAUUUCUACUUUAUUUCAAAGUUUAUUUAUGAGUAAUAUUUUGGUCAGAAAUAUAAAUUGUUCUAUAUUUAGUAGAUAAAAUAGUUUCUAUAAUGAAAAAAAUAUGUUUGGUAUGUUUAUGUGUGGAAUAAGUUAUGUAAUCUUGAUAUUAUUUUUUUUGAAUAAGUGAUAGUGUUGCCAAUAAUUGUAAUAGAAAAGAAUAUUGAGAAAUGUAUAACUUGUCUGUUUUUUUAAA